UACGUAGGGGGCUAGCGUUGUCCGGAUUUAUUGGGCGUAAAGAGCGUGUAGGCGGCCAGAUAGGUCUGCUGUGAAAACUCGAGGCUCAACCUCGAGAUGUCGGCGGAAACCAUUUGGCUAGAGUCCGGAAGAGGAAAGUGGAAUUCCUGGUGUAGCGGUGAAAUGCGCAGAUAUCAGGAGGAACACCUAUUGCGAAGGCAGCUCGCUGGGACGUAACUGACGCUGAGACGCGAAAGCGUGGGGAGCAAACAGG
rnacentral:rRNA from 1 species